rnacentral:rRNA from 1 species
GAUGAACGCUGGCGGCGUGCUUAACACAUGCAAGUCGAACGAAGCACUUAAGAUUGAUUCUUCGGAUGACGUCUUUUGUGACUUAGUGGCGGACGGGUGAGUAACGCGUGGGUAACCUGCCUCACACAGGGGGAUAACAGUUAGAAAUGACUGCUAAUACCGCAUAACCCGAUAGGAUCGCAUGAUCCAGACGGAAAAGAUUUAUCGGUGUGAGAUGGACCCGCGUCUGAUUAGCUAGUUGGUGAGGUAACGGCCCACCAAGGCGACGAUCAGUAGCCGGCUGGGGAGGGGGAACGCCAACUUUGGGACGAGGAAACGGCCCAAACCCCUGCGGGAGGCAGCAGGGGGAAUUAUGGCACAUGGGGGAAACCCUGAUGCAGCGACGCCGCGUGAGUGAAGAAGUAUUUCGGUAUGUAAAGCUCUAUCAGCAGGGAAGAAAAUGACGGUACCUGACUAAGAAGCCCCGGCUAACUACGUG